AAGUGCACUCCAUUGUCCAAAGAAGAGCUCCGAGUUCUGCGUAGAGGGCAUUGCGAUAACAAUUCUGGCUACUUUGACCAAACAGCUUGGUCGUUGAGCUAGUCAACAUGAACCCCAAACUAACAUUCUGGUUAAUACCAGUCCACGAAGCGUCAAUUUGGCACAUAGCUUCUCCUCUUUGAACGUGCGCAUACUCACAAGCUUCAACUACUUCAGGUUCUUCCUCCGCAUCAAUGUCAUGUUCUAGUUCUUGGGCAACUCUCCAACUUUUCGACUCAGAAAUUACAUGCGCUAGAAUAUAUGGUGUUAUGUACUCCCG